rnacentral:misc_RNA from 1 species
AAAUGCGAUAAGUAGUGUGAAUUGCAGAAUUCAGUGAAUCAUCGAAUCUUUGAACGCACAUUGCGCCCCUUGGUAUUUCAUGGGGCAUGCCUGUUCGAGCGUCAUUUGUACCCUCAAGCUCUGCUUGGUGUUGGGUGUUUGUCCCGUCUCCGCGCGUGGACUCGCCCCAAAGUGAUUGGCAGCCGGCGUACUGGUCCCGGAGCGCAGCACACGUCGCGCAAACGAGUGCCUUGGUACGGCGGCGUCCAUAAGCCCCUCUCUCACGCUCUUGACCUCGGAUCAGGUAGGGAUACCCGCUGAACUUAAGC